rnacentral:ribozyme from 2 species
GCCGAGGGCUACUGCUUAGGGGGAGCAGUAGUAAGGCCAAUGCAGGUCCCAAGUCCUG